rnacentral:rRNA from 1 species
AUUGAACGCUGGCGGCAGGCCUAACACAUGCAAGUCGAGCGGAUGAAGGGAGCUUGCUCCUGGAUUCAGCGGCGGACGGGUGAGUAAUGCCUAGGAAUCUGCCUGGUAGUGGGGGAUAACGUCCGGAAACGGGCGCUAAUACCGCAUACGUCCUGAGGGAGAAAGUGGGGGACCUUCGGACCUCACGCUAUCAGAUGAGCCUAGGUCGGAUUAGCUAGUUGGUGGGGUAAAGGCCUACCAAGGCGACGAUCCGUAACUGGUCUGAGAGGAUGAUCAGUCACACUGGAACUGAGACACGGUCCAGACUCCUACGGGAGGCAGCAGUGGGGAAUAUUGGGCAAUGGGCGAAAGCCUGAUCCAGCCAUGCCGCGUGUGUGAAGAAGGUCUUCGGAUUGUAAAGCACUUUAAGUUGGGAGGAAGGGCAGUAAGUUAAUACCUUGCUGUUUUGACGUUACCAACAGAAUAAGCACCGGCUAACUUCGUG